rnacentral:misc_RNA from 1 species
AAGUCGUAACAAGGUAACCGUAGGUGAACCUGCGGUUGGAUCAUUAACAAUUUUAGCAGGAGCUUGUCUUUGGAUGAGAUCCUGUGAAAAAUCAAUCACCUUUUGUGCACUGUCUGUCUCUGGCGGCCGGGGCAAAGUCAACCUUAAUCGAGGUUGCAUAGCUUAUGCUCUGUCAGCUUGGUACACUUGUGGACCAGGCCGUGGACAAACCACCAACCACUUUGUUUAACUCCCUGUUUUAAUCUCCUGUCUAACAAUUUUCUUUGUAUUAACAUACAAUAAAACUUUUGGCAACGGAUCUCUUGGCUCUC